UUUAGAGUUUACACAUUAGAGGAAUUAGAGCAGCAAAAUUACAGGAGACAACUGAAUCUAGUUUAAACUGAAAUUUCGUUUACUCCUUGUUUUUGGCUAUCACAAUGAGGCAAUUUUAAAAUACUAAGUUUCGAAGACUAAAAUCAUGUGAUUUAACACACUGUAGUCAUAAAAAUCCCCUAUUAUAACCUCACAAUGUAAAAGUCUCCUUUUC